AUGGCUGCCAAGGUCACCUCAUCCUCAUGCUUUGCUUUCCUAAAGGAAGCGCUGAUCCUGCCCACGCUAAACCCCAAGCUCUUCGCGCCGGUGCUCCUCCUCUUUGCCAUCACCGCCUUCCUUGACUCCUUGGACGAUGUCGUGUUCGUCCAGCCUCUCGUCGACGACAUGGGCAGCCGUCUCAUCGCGGUCAACAGCACCGACCCCUUGGGCGCCGAGUACACCAAGCUCACGGAGGAGACAGAGCCAGGCGGUAGCGGUACAAAGCUCCUCCUCAUCACCAUCGCCCAGCUGGUCGUCGGUGGUCUGGCGCUCGGCCUCGUCAAGCAGAUCCUCGCCCUCUUCGCAGCCUCCACGACCUACUCCGGCGACCGCUACUCGCUAGCAGAGCUCCUGCGUGAGCUGGUCAAGGGGAGGAUCAGCGUGAAGGGCCCUUCCGUCACCAUCGCCGUCGUCGACGCGCUUGACUUCGCAUCGGCGGUCCUGGCCGCGCUGAUUCCCACUCCCGCCCUGAUGGGCGGGCUCUCGGGGGUGCUCUCCGUCCAGGGUCUCGUCUCCCACCUCGCGAACCACGUCUCCCUCUGCUUCACCGUCGUCGCGCUGGUGGGCGUCACCGCGUCGGCGGUCGACAGGAGGUGCAGCGGCGUGCGCGCGCUCCGGCAGGCGUGGCGGCUCGUGACGCGGGUGAGGAGGAAGGAGGGACUCGUGCUGGUGCUCAUGGCAUACCUCGGGCCUACCGCCGUGACUCCGCUGCACGGGUUCGCUCUUGGGUAUGCCAAGAGGAGCACGGCGGCGUGCUUGUGCUUGCUGGCGGUGUAUGGCCUUCUGUCUGGCGCGCAGGAGCUCUUCUCCUUGGCGGCGACCACGGUGUACUACUACCAAGCCAUGGAGAGCAAGGAGGUGAUCGAUGCCUUGUGCUUACUAGUAAGCGUGCAUGUGUAA
rnacentral:rRNA from 1 species